CACGUAGGACGCAAGCGUUAUCCGGAAUUACUGGGCGUAAAGCGCGUGUAGGCGGUUGUCCAAGUUGGAUGUGAAAGCCUUGAGCUUAACUCAAGAAAUGCAUUCAGGACUGGAUGACUAGAGGACCGGAGAGGAUAGUGGAAUUCCCAGUGUAGUGGUGAAAUACGUAGAGAUUGGGAAGAACACCAGUGGCGAAGGCGGCUAUCUGGACGGUUUCUGACGCUAAGACGCGAAAGCGUGGGGAGCAAACAGG
rnacentral:rRNA from 1 species